rnacentral:rRNA from 1 species
AUGAGGACUCUAUGCUGGAACUGUCAUGGGAUUGGCGACCCUGCGAUAGUCCAUGAGCUCCGCGAUCUCGUGGGGGCUAGUGCGCCGUCGGUUCUUUGCAUUGUGGAGACUCAAAUUGCAAAAAAUUGAGUGGAAGGUUUGGCGGCUUCUUUAGGUUUCCAAAAUAGUUUUGCAGUUCCUAGCAGUGGACGUAGUGGUGGGCUUUGUAUUUUUUGGAAGGCAGAUGUGAACUUGGCAAUAAAAAAUUUCUCG